rnacentral:rRNA from 1 species
AUACGGAGGAUCCGAGCGUUAUCCGGAUUUAUUGGGUUUAAAGGGUGCGCAGGCGGCCAUUUAAGUCAGCGGUUAAAUCGUGGGGCUCAACCCCAUUCUGCCGUUGAUACUGGGUGGCUUGAUUGCGGUCGAGGUUGGCGGAAUUCGUUGUGUAGCGGAAAUGCAUAGAUAUGACGAAGAACACCGAUUGCGUAGGCAGCUGACCAGACCGUAAAUGACGCUCAUGCACGAAAGUGCAGGGAUCGAACAGGAUUAGAUACCCUGGUAGUCCGCACAGUAAACGAUGAAUACUUGUUUUCGGCGAUAUAAUGUCGGAGGCAAAGCGAAAGCGAUAAGUAUUCCACCUGGGGAGUACGCCGGCAACGGUGAAACUCAAAGGAAUUGACGGGG